GUGCAGCAGUCGCGAAAACUUCACACUGUGCGAAAGCACGAUGAGGGAAUCCCAAGUGCUUGCACGUAAGUGUAAGCUGUUUCUCUGUCUAAAACGCAGAGAGAGUAAGGGCUGGGUAAGACGGGUGCCAGCCGCCGCGGUAAUACCUGCAGCUCAAGUGGUGACCGUUAUUAUUGGGCCUAAAACGUCCGUAGCCGGUUUAAUAAAUGCCUGGGUAAAUUGUGUAGCUUAACUAUACGAAUUCCGGGUAGACUGUUAAACUUGAGACCGGGAGAAGUUAGAGGUACUCCUGGGGUAGAGGUAAAAUUCUGUAAUCCUAGGGGGACCACCAGUGGCGAAGGCGUCUAACUAGAACGGGUCUGACGGUGAGGGACGAAGCCCUGGGGCGCAAACGGGGAUUAGAUACCCCCGUAGU
rnacentral:rRNA from 1 species